ACGCUCGACACCUACGGGAGCAGCAGCGGGGAAUAUUGCACAAUGGGGGAAACCCUGAUGCAGCGACGCCGCGUGAGCGAAGAAGUAUUUCGGUAUGUAAAGCUCUAUCAGCAGGGAAGAAACUGACGGUACCUGACUAAGAAGCACCGGCUAAAUACGUGCCAGCAGCCGCGGUAAUCUGAGCGGGCUGGCAAGGC
rnacentral:rRNA from 1 species